GGAAUCACUGGAAUGGAUCUCAAAGUCGUCCAGGUUCUCCUGGAUCUUCACGUUGGCUAAUGUGGUCUGGCACUAUCCAGUUAGAUUUUUACCUCAAAGACAUGGUUUAUACUCAGACGUGUUGUGAAAAUUCCUGAUUCCUAAAUGAUUUUGAGCGUAGUCCAGGCCAAUUCCCAACAGCUUUUAUUCACCGUUAACCAUUGCAGUUCCCAUUAGAUAAUGGUGAAGUUCCCAUAGAUAAUGGUAAAGGAAGUAAGUUCUAAACUUAGUAUUUUGGAUGUAGUUGUAUGAAGUUGGUGUAAAAUAUUCAACAUGGAUCGUGCCUUAAAAUCAAAGAAAUGAUGUUUUAAAAGGUAGUAACUUUUUUUUAAUGGAGGCUAAAACUCUGUAUUAUGUCUGGCCAACCAUGACAGAGAGAUUUGUAUAUUGAAAAAUAUGUGUCUUUUUCUGUUCUCUGUCAUCAUUUCCUUUUCUUUUUUAGUUUAUAUAUAUAUAUAUAUAUGUGUGUGUGUAUAUAUAUAUACAUAUAUAUUUAGUUUAUAAAUUAGAACUCAUACUAUGAUGGUUUUUCUCUAAUUUCAUUAUUUCUUUUUUGACUUUGUAAUUGCAUUUACCUUUUAAAUUGCAUUAAAAUUAUAAAGUAGGUCUGGCCUUGUGGUGAAGCAGAUAAAGCCACCUUUUGCAACACUGGCAUACCAUCAUACCAUAUUGGUGUGCUGGUUAAAGUCCUGGUUGCUCUACUCUUUUUUUUAAAAUUAAUUUAUGUAUUUGAAGGUCAGAGUUACACAGAGACAGAGACACAGACACAGAGAUCUUCCGUCUACUGGUUCAUCCCCAAAUGGCUGCAAUGGCUGGAUCUAGGCCAAUCUGAAGCCAGGAGCCAGGACAGGAGCCAGGAGCUUCUUCCAGGUAGCAGAGGCCAAAGCACUUGGACCAUCAUUUGCUGCUUUCCCAGGUGCUUUGGCAGGGAGCUGGAUCAGAAGUGGAGCAUCCAGGUAUCAAACCAGUGCCUGUAAGGGAUUCCAGGUCUCAGGCAGUGGCUUAACUUGCUCGACCACAGUGGGAACCCCUGCUCUACUUCUGAUCCAGCUUACUGCUAAUGUACCCUGAGAGGCAGCAGAAAACAGCCCAAGUCUUGGGUUCAUGCCACUUAUCUCACGUGGGAGACCCAGAUGGAGUUUCUGUCUCCUGUUCUCAGCCUGGCCCAGACCUGGUAGCCAUCUGGAGAGUGAACCAGUGGAUGGAGGAUCUUUCUCUCUCUCUCUCCCUGUCUUCCUUUGUUGCUCUACCUUCCAAAUAAAUAAAUAAACAAAUCUUGCAAAAAAUAUAUAUGUUACUAAGUAAGCAAAUAUAUUUUCUAAUAUAAAUUAAUGUUGGAAAAGAUCUACUUAAAAACACAAGUUCCUAUUGAUGGUUUAUUUGUUAAUUGUCCAUGUUUACCACUAAACAUCAGGAAUAAGCAAGUGGAAAAUUUGUUUUAUUUCUGGUAUUCAGAUGAUGCCAAACAUAUAAUAGGUGCUAAUUAAAAUUUAUUCAAUGAUUGAAAAAAUAAGUGAAUGAACAUAAUGGUGGCAGGAAAAUUUGCUUUAGCAAAAUUGAUUGUAUAUUAAAUGAGAAAUGAAAAAUCGUUUUAACUGAAUGUAGUUUGACCUUCUUUUCUCUUCUUUUUUGUUUACUUGACACUUGAUGAAAUAAAUAUGGUAUCAAGUUAUAGUUUAAUAAUUUGUUUAAACAGCCUUGAUUUUCUUUUCCAUUCACACUUACCAUUCUUUUAAAUCACAAGAAGUUAAUUCUUCUUUUGAAAGCUUUAUUUAUCUGUUUAUUUGAAAGGCAGAAUGAUAGAGAUCCUUAUCUGCUGGGUCACUCUUCAAAUGCCUGCAAGAGUUCGGGCUGGGUCAGACUGAAGCCAGGAGCUGGGAACUCUUUCCCUGUCACUCACAUGUCAUUCACUGUCUUCCCAGGUGCAUUAGCAGGAAGGUGCGUGAAUUGGAAACAAAGUGCUGGGACUCAAGCCCAAGUACUCUGAUGUGGGAUUCAGACCUCCAAGUGGCAGCUUAACCACUGUGCCACAGCGCUCACCCUGAGAAACUCAUUCUUUUAAAAAAAAUUUUUAAAAAGAUGUAUUCUUAUUUAUUUGAGAGGCAGAGUCACAGAGAGAGAGGGAGAGACAGAGAGAGAGAGAUAAAUCUUCCAUGUGCUGGUUCACUCACCAAAUGGCUGCAAUGACCAGGGUUGUGCCAGGCAGAAGCCAGGAACAACUUCUGGGUCUCCCACAUGGGAAACAGUGGCCACACACUUUGGCCAUCUUCCUCUGAUUUCCCAGGUGCAUUAGCAGGGAGGUGGAUCGGAAGUGCGGAAGACAGGUCUUGAAUCAGUGCCUGUGUGGGUUACCAGCAUCGCAGGUGAUGGUUUAACCUACUACACAAUGCUGGCUCCAAGGAGCUAAAUCUUUUGACUAGGUUCUGUAAUUCCAGUUGUUAAGUAGAUUCUAAAUGUGUAUAUGGGAUAGCAAUUUAAAGAAGCCCAUGAAAGCUUUUAACACUUAAAGAUAGUAUAGGAUGGGGCCGGCGCAAUAGGUUAAUCCUCCGCCUGCGGUGCCGGCAUCUCAUAUUGGCACCGGGUUCUAGUCUCGGUUGCUCCUCUUCGAGUCCAGCUCUCUGCUGUGGCCCAGGAGGACAGGGGAGAAUGGCCCAAUUGCUUGGGCCUCUGCACCCACAUGGGAGACCAGGAAGAGGCUUGGCUCCUGGCUCCUGGCUCCUGGUGUCGGAUCAGCGUAGCUCUGGCCGUAGUGGCCAUUUGGGGAGUGAACCAAUGGAAGGAAGACCUUUCUCUCUGUCUCUCUCUCUCACUGUCUAUAACUCUACCUGUCAAAUAAAAAAAAAAGUUAAAAAAAAAA